AUUGAACGCUGGCGGCAGGCUUAACACAUGCAAGUCGAGCGGAGAUGAGGUGCUUGCACCUUAUCUUAGCGGCGGACGGGUGAGUAAUGCUUAGGAAUCUGCCUAUUAGUGGGGGACAACAUUCCGAAAGGAAUGCUAAUACCGCAUACGUCCUGAGGGAGAAAGCGGGGGAUCUUCGGACCUCGCGCGAUUGGAGUGGCCGAUGUCAGAUUAGCUAGUUGGUGGGGUAAAGGCCUACCAAGGCAACGAUCUGUAGCUGGUCUGAGAGGAUGAUCAGCCACACUGGGACUGAGACACGGCCCAGACUCCUACGGGAGGCAGCAGUGGGGAAUUUUGGACAAUGGGGGCAACCCUGAUCCAGCCAUUCCGCGUGAGUGAAGAAGGCCUUCGGGUUGUAAAGCUCUUUCGGCAGGAACGAAACGGCGAGCUCUAACAUAGCUUGCUAAUGACGGUACCUGAAGAAGAAGCACCGGCUAACUACGUGCCAGCCGCCGCAGUAAAAC
rnacentral:rRNA from 1 species